rnacentral:rRNA from 1 species
GAUGAACGCUGACAGAAUGCUUAACACAUGCAAGUCGAUUCGAUUUACCUUCGGGUAUUGAGGAUGGCGGACGGGUGAGUAACGCGUAAGGAACUUGCCUCUUGGACUGGGACAACUGUUGGAAACGACAGCUAAUACCGGAUAUUAUGAGAUUCUCGCAUGGGAAACUUAUGAAAGCUAUAUGCGCCAAGAGAGAGCCUUGCGUUCCAUUAGCUAGUUGGUGGGGUAAUGGCCCACCAAGGCGACGAUGGAUAGCCGGCCUGAGAGGGUGAACGGCCACAAGGGGACUGAGACACGGCCCUUACUCCUACGGGAGGCAGCAGUGGGGAAUAUUGGACAAUGGGCCACAAGCCUGAUCCAGCAAUUCUGUGUGCACGAUGAAGGUCUUCGGAUCGUAAAGUGCUUUCAGUUGGGAAGAAGAAAGUGACGGUACCAACAGAAGAAGCACCGGCUAACUCCGUGCCAGCCGCCGCGGUA